rnacentral:rRNA from 1 species
AGGCUUGCACAGGUGCUGCAUGGCUGUCGUCAGCUCGUGUCGUGAGGAUGUCGGUUAAGUCCGCUAACGAGCGCAGCCCUCACUGUGUGUUAUAUGUGUCACACGGGACUGCCGGUUUUAAGCCGGAGGAAGGUGGGGAUGACGUCAAGUCAGCAUGGCCUUUAUAUCCUGGGCUACACACACGCUACAAUGGUCGGUACAAUAGGUUGCCAAGCCGCGAGGCGGAGCCAAUCCACAAAGCCGGCCUCAGUUCAGAUUGUAGGCUGCAACUCGCCUGCAUGAAGAUGGAGUUGCUAGUAACCGCAGGUCAGCAAUACUGCGGUGAAUACGUUCCCGGGUCUU